GUGUCAGCAGCCGCGGUAAUACGUAGGGUGCGAGCGUUAAUCGGAAUUACUGGGCGUAAAGCGUGCGCAGGCGGCUACAUAAGACAGCUGUGAAAGCCCCGGGCUUAACCUGGGAACUGCGGUUGUGACUGUGUGGCUAGAGUGUGGCAGAGGGGGGUGGAAUUCCACGUGUAGCAGUGAAAUGCGUAGAGAUGUGGAGGAACACCGAUGGCGAAGGCAGCCCCCUGGGUCGCCACUGACGCUCAUGCACGAAAGCGUGGGGAGCAAACAGGAUUAGAAACCCCAGUAGUCC
rnacentral:rRNA from 1 species